rnacentral:lncRNA from 1 species
GUUAAACCCUUGAUCCAGAAGGCCAGUUUGGGUAGGACGUGCAAUGCUGCCAGUGCUGCCCAGGCACAGGGAUGACUCUGCUGCCCUCCUUCCUGCGGGAAGGCUGCAAGACUGCAGGAUCAGCCCUGUCUCAGGCACAACAGCAUCAGAGCAGAGAGCAUUGCAGCCCUUAGCUCCACUGUUCUGCAGAGAUGGCAUGUGGAUAACUGCAACGCUAGCCUCCAGCACCAGUGGGAUAUGCUGAACCUGGAAACAAUCGGCUGAGAGAGAAGAAACUUCUCUACAGCCAGUAACUGCUGGAUCCCUGCAUCCUGUAAGGAGUACAGCUGCUCGCAUUACUGACGGCACUCCCGGCACCCCUCGGGAGGGCUCCAGGCUGUGGGAUGCAUGGUGCAGAGCAGCGCCAGGACCCCUCAGCCAGGCCUGCGCUCUGCUCUCCGCUCCCAUCCUCAUGGCUGCUUCACCAAAGCCGGGCACACCAAAUCCAAAGUCAUCUCCAGGGCUGCUGCUGCUGCUGGGUGCGCCCAGAGACCCGCUCGUCUGCUGCCCAGGGCACAGCCCACGCCAUGUGUCUGUGAGCAGUGGGAGCGCGGGCACAGAACAGCUGCUGGGAAUUUAAAUGACCGCCCAUGAAUGCCGGUUUUGUUUUGCCCCAGACGCGGCUGCGUUCUGCCUGGGAGAAGCAGCAUUCAAAUGUAGCCGAUGGCAGGGCUCUCCCCUGCAAAUAAAGCUGGUCUGGGAAAUCUGGGGAGAAAUGGAGCUUGAAAGGAGCCCUGGAGUGGCUCCUGCCCCUGCACAGCCCUGCCAAGGGAGCAGCGGGCACCCAGGGCAGGGAAUGCGGCGGUGGUGUGGGGACGUGGGGACGUGGAACCUGUGAUACAUGACAUAGACACGUGGGGACACAUGGAGGUGGGAGCCAGCUGUGCUCCCCUACAGCCCCUGAUGUGCAGCCAACAUGGGGCUGGGCCUGGGGAGACAAUGCCAUACACAGGACAGGGCCAGCAAGACAAGAGGAGAGAGCAGAUGUCCAGGGACAGCCUGCAGGUGAAGUUUUUGGCCUGGUCAUGAGCUCAGGGUGGGAAACGCUGUCCUGUGACCAGGCACACAGAGAUGCUGCCGGUUGCCACCACUGACUCAACGCACGCUGCCAAAUGCAUGCCCCAGAGAUCUGUUUCUGAAUGGAUAAACAGCAUUUCUUAUUAAGGUUGCUAAUGGGAUACCAGCCCAUGACAGUGUAG